rnacentral:rRNA from 1 species
UAAGGAAUAUUGGUCAAUGGACGAAAGUCUGAACCAGCCAUGCCGCGUGAAGGAUUAAGGCCCUCUGGGUUGUAAACUUCUUUUAUCUGGGACGAAACACUUAUAUUCUUAUAAGCUUGACGGUACCAGAGGAAUAAGCACCGGCUAACUCCGUGCCAGCAGCCGCGGUAAUACGGAGGGUGCAAGCGUUAUCCGGAUUCACUGGGUUUAAAGGGUGCGUAGGUGGGUCUGUAAGUCCGUGGUGAAAUCUCCGAGCUUAACUCGGAAACUGCCAUGGAUACUAUAGGUCUUGAAUUUUCUGGAGGUAAGCGGAAUAUGUCAUGUAGCGGUGAAAUGCUUAGAUAUGACAUAGAACACCAAUUGCGAAGGCAGCUUACUACAGGAACAUUGACACUGAGGCACGAAAGCGUGGGGAUCAAACAG